GAGUCUGGAUACCAUAGCAGUUACUUAAUAUAUGUGCAUGCAAUAAAGUCAAUCAGUAGAAUCGAAGAAGAAGCCCAAGUUAGAUAAGAUGAAACCACAGAGGAACUGCGCCAUUGGUAAAACUUUUUUUUUUUUAAAUGGGUUUUAAAAAGGUAACAUUAGAAAUAAAUAAAUCUAUGACACCAGAUAAACAGCACUAUGGAUUUUUCUGCCAGAAUAUCGGCCCAGCAACUUGCUAUCGAACGUGGAAUGGGGGUCUUUGUCAAGCACAAGAAAGAGACAAAAUAAGAAGACUCAUGCCCAUCUUGCAUUGCAU